rnacentral:rRNA from 1 species
UGCGUAGGUGGUUUGAUAAGUCAGCGGUGAAAGUUUGCAGCUUAACUGUAAAAAUGCCGUUGAAACUGUCGGACUUGAGUGUAAAUGAGGUAGGCGGAAUGCGUGGUGUAGCGGUGAAAUGCAUAGAUAUCACGCAGAACUCCGAUUGCGAAGGCAGCUUACUAAGCUACAACUGACACUGAAGCACGAAAGCUGGGGAUCAAACA